UACGUAGGGUGCAAGCGUUAAUCGGAAUUACUGGGCGUAAAGCGUGCGCAGGCGGCUUUGCAAGACAGAUGUGAAAUCCCCGGGCUCAACCUGGGAACUGCAUUUGUGACUGCAUGGCUUGAGUGCGGCAGAGGGGGAUGGAAUUCCGCGUGUAGCAGUGAAAUGCGUAGAUAUGCGGAGGAACACCGAUGCGAAGGCAAUCCCUGGGCCUGCACUGACGCUCAUGCACGAAAGCGUGGGGAGCAAACAGG
rnacentral:rRNA from 1 species